UGAGAUUUGACAAAGUUAUCAGACUAGAAACUGCUGUUUUUUGAAAAGUAAUCACUUUAAUUAUUUGGUCGAAUAACUGCAAUAAAAUUGGGUACUUGUGCUUGAUGGUUUACCCGAUAAGUCUUGUAAAGACUUGACUCAAGUUUCCCCAGCUUGCUUAUCCAAUGAAAGGAAGUUGAUUAUAUAAUAGAAGUCGAGCGUAGUUCGUAUUUAAGAAUUUCUGUUCUUUUAAGAACACUGUGUUGGUUUGCACGAAGAUGCUAGUUCCGGAGAGUACAGCAGUACUAAAGGUCCUUGGACUUUUAGGUAGUUCGUUAAAUAAAUAAUGGAUUCAUGAUCCGUAUUAAGGCUAAAGUAAACACUUUUAAGAUAUGUUUAGAAUGUUGGACUAGAUAAGACUAGACAAGAUUAAAGAAGAGAUAUAUGUGACAAAAUCUAUUAGUUGCUUGUCUUAUCCUAUUCAAUCUAACGUACCAAACACACAGUCUAUAGUAGAAGAGGGUACGUACUGAAGUUCAUCUGUGUGAUCGAGCUUGCGGCUGCCUACUAUAACGGAUUCUGCAUUGGAAGUCUCGUAUAGAAGAGACUUGUCCUCAGGUACCAUAACUCGAGUUUUUCUCAGUGUGGCUACCACCACCUUGCAGAGACGCGUAAGAGGGCUGCCACCGGGUUUCUGGUACCGAAAAAGUCGAGUACCUGAAAAGAAAAAGGCCACAGCUAUUGCCAUAGCCACAGCAGGAAUACUGAAUCCCCAUCCCCAACCAAUGUUGACUUGUAUCCAAACAAUCACAGAGGAGGCAAUAAGUGCACCAAUAUUGAUUGAAAAAUAGAACCAAUUGAAGAAAUAACUUUUGUGCUUCUUCUCAGCCUCAUCAGUGUCAUCAAAUUGAUCUGCACCGUAUGAUGAGACACAUGGCUUAAUCCCACCGGUUCCGAGUGCUAUCAGAUAGAGUGCAAGAAAACAGACUGAUGUUUGAGCAUGUGUUGCAGUACAUACAUCUUUCUUUAAACAAGUUGGCCUCAGGCCGGAUACUGUUGCUGAUAGUGUCAAUAGUGUCAUUCCCUGUUGAUAGAAUUUAGCAAUGGGUAAAUAGUUGACAAGACCUAGGGAUGAGAAGUGCUAUCUUUCUAAAGAUUUAAGCUUUUAGACGAGGCGAUCAAAUAUAACAACAACAAAUUAAGCCCGAUUUUCAGUAACUUCACGGUUCAUUUUCUUUCCAAUUUGUUCAGUUCGUCACUACCUCUACUAAAAGAAACAGAUAGUUGAACUUACGAUAACAUAGAUGGUCGAAAAGCUGGCAAUAGUCCAAUAUCUUCCUAAAUAUGCAUCAGCAAGAAAAGCUCCAAGUAAUGGCAUAACAUAGCAAGUACCCGACCAAUUCGACAGAUUUUUCGAAGCAGUUACACUGUGUUGAUUGAGUUGAUUUGUGAAAUAAAGAAACAAAUUGGAGCUCAUUCCAUAGUAUGCUAAUCUUUCACAACAUUCAUUUCCUGCAGAAAAAUAUUCAAUACUCAGUAAGCAGUGUUAUUACCAGAAAUGACUUAAUUUGGAAGAAUUAAGAAUGAAAAUAACUAACCCAGGAUAAAUGGACAGGCUCUCCAGUUUCCUGUUUUCUUCUUGUUAGCAGGUUUAUUGCGAUAAUCUACUGUCCCAUCUUUCGUACAGUUAUCUUCAUCUUCUUUGAUGGCAAGUGGUUUCAUGCUCGAUUUUGUAUCUUGCAUUGUUUUGUGAUUUCUGUAAUGGCCAAGAAGAAACACGAAAAAACCCCAACAGAAUUAACUUCNNNNNNNNNAACGUACCAAACACACAGUCUAUAGUAGAAGAGGGUACGUACUGAAGUUCAUCUGUGUGAUCGAGCUUGCGGCUGCCUACUAUAACGGAUUCUGCAUUGGAAGUCUCGUAUAGAAGAGACUUGUCCUCAGGUACCAUAACUCGAGUUUUUCUCAGUGUGGCUACCACCACCUUGCAGAGACGCGUAAGAGGGCUGCCACCGGGUUUCUGGUACCGAAAAAGUCGAGUACCUGAAAAGAAAAAGGCCACAGCUAUUGCCAUAGCCACAGCAGGAAUA
rnacentral:lncRNA from 1 species